rnacentral:rRNA from 1 species
UACGUAGGGGGCUAGCGUUGUCCGGAUUUAUUGGGCGUAAAGAGCGUGUAGGCAGCCAGGUAAGUCGGAUGUGAAAUCCCUCGGCUUAACCGAGGACGUGCAUCCGAAACUGUGAGGCUCGAGUAUGGAAGAGGGUCGCAGAAUUCCCGGUGUAGAGGUGAAAUUCGUAGAUAUCGGGAGGAAUACCAGUGGCGAAGGCGGCGACCUGGGCCAAUACUGACGCUGAGGUGCGAAAGCGUGGGGAGCAAACAGG